CAAUAGCGUAUAUUAAAGUUGUUGCAGUUAAAAAGCUCGUAGUUGGAUUUCUGGUGGGAGCGAUCGGUCUGGCGCUUAGCGCGAGUACUUGCAUCGUCUCCGGCCAUCCUUGGGGAGAGUCUGUCUGGCAUUAGGUUGUCGGGCAGAGGAUCCUCAUCGUUUACUGUGAAAAAAUUAGAGUGUUCAAAGCGGGCUUAUGCCGUUGAAUAUAUUAGCAUGGAAUAAUAAGAUAGGACUUUGGUACUAUUUUGUUGGUUUGCGCACCAAAGUAAUGAUUAAUAGGGACAGUUGGGGGUAUUCGUAUUCCGUUGUCAGAGGUGAAAUUCUUGGAUUUACGGAAGACGAACUACUGCGAAAGCAUUUACCAAGGAUGUUUUCAUUGA
rnacentral:rRNA from 1 species